AUUGAACGCUGGCGGCAUGCCUUACACAUGCAAGUCGAACGGCAGCACGGGUGCUUGCACCUGGUGGCGAGUGGCGAACGGGUGAGUAAUACAUCGGAACGUACCUUAUCGGGGGGGAUAACGCAGCGAAAGUUGCGCUAAUAACGCAUACGCACUGAGGGGGAAAGCGGGGGACCGUAAGGCCCCGCGCGAGUAGAGCGGCCGAUGUCUGAUUAGCUUGUUGGUGAGGUAAAAGCUCACCAAGGCGAUGAUCAGUAGCUGGUCUGAGAGGACGAUCAGCCACACUGGGACUGAGACACGGCCCAGACUCCUACGGGAGGCAGCAGUGGGGAAUUUUGGACAAUGGUGGCAACCCUGAUCCAGCAAUGCCGCGUGCAGGAAGAAGGCCCUAGGGUUGUAAAGUUCUUUUGUCGCAGAGCAAAUGGGAGGUGCUAAUACCAUCUUCAAAUGAGAGUAUGCGAAGAAUAAGCACCGGCUAACUACGUGCCAGCAGCCGCCGCGG
rnacentral:rRNA from 1 species